rnacentral:rRNA from 1 species
GGGAGGAAAAGAAACUAACAAGGAUUUUCUUAGUAGCGGCGAGCGAAAAGAAAUCAGUUCAGCACUAAGUCACUUUGUUAUAUAUGGGCAAAUGUGAGAUGCAGUGUAUGGAAUGUCAAAUUUCUAGUAUGAGAAAUUAAUGAUUUAAGUCCUUCUUAAAUGAGGCCAUUUACCCAUAGAGGGUGCCAGGCCCGUAUAACAUUAAUGAUUAUUAGAUGGCAUUUCCAAAGAGUCGUGUUGCUUGAUAGUGCAGCACUAAGUGGGUGGUAAACUCCAUCUAAAACUAAAUAUAACCAUGAGACCGAUAGUAAACAAGUACCGUGAGGGAAAGUUGAAAAGAACUCUGAAUAGAGAGUUAAAUAGUACGUGAAACUGCUUAGAGGUUAAGCCCGAUGAACCUGAAUAUCCAUUAUAGGAAAUUCAUCAUUAUGAUUGUUAUAUAUAGAAAUAUAUAUUAUAAUAAUGGUGUGCAUUUUUUCUAUAAAAGGACAUUGUAAUCUAUUAACAUAUAAAGAAAUAUUUAUCAUAAGAUCGUUGGCAAGAGUUUAUUCGAAUUAUUUUACAAUUUUAUAUUGUGAUCUAACAUAGGAUAAAUGCUUUUGAUUUGAUAAAGUGUUGAUAGAUUUAUGUGAUGUGUAUAGUGCUUAAAUAUAUUAUUUUAUAAUAUAUUUUAUAAUGAAAGAGCAUAAAAGAUAAUUUUAUGUUUUUUUUUUUAUUAUAUGCACUUAUAUGAUUAACAAUGCGAAAGAUUCAGGAUACCUUCGGGACCCGUCUUGAAACACGGACCAAGGAGUCUAACAUAUUUGCAAGUUAUUGGGAUAACAAAAGAAAACCUAAUGGCGUAAUUAACAUAACUUAUAUUAUAAAUUUUAUAAAAUGGGAUAAAUUUUUAGAGAUAAAAAGAAAAAAGAAUUUUUUUUUCUUUUAUAAUCUAUUAAUACAAUCCCGGGGCGUUCUGUAAAGUUAUGUAUAAUGAUAUUUUUUAUAUUAUUUAUACCUCUAACUAGAGCGUACCUUGAGCAUAUAUGCUGUGACCCGAAAGAUGGUGAACUAUACUUGAUCAGGUUGAAGUCAGGGGAAACCCUGAUGGAAGACCGAAACAG